GAGCACUGUUUCGGCAAGGGGGUCAUCCCGACUUACCAACCCGAUGCAAACUGCGAAUACCGGAGAAUGUUAUCACGGGAGACACACGGCGGGUGCUAACGUCCGUCGUGAAGAGGGAAACAACCCAGACCGCCAGCUAAGGUCCCAAAGUCAUGGUUAAGUGGGAAACGAUGUGGGAAGGCCCAGACAGCCAGGAUGUUGGCUUAGAAGCAGCCAUCAUUUAAAGAAAGCGUAAUAGCUCACUGGUCGAGUCGGCCUGCGCGGAAGAUGUAACGGGGCUAAACCAUGCACCGAAGCUGCGGCAGCGACACUAUGUGUUGUUGGGUAGGGGAGCGUUCUGUAAGCCUGUGAAGGUGUGCUGUGAGGCACGCUGGAGGUAUCAGAAGUGCGAAUGCUGACAUAAGUAACGAUAAAGCGGGUGAAAAGCCCGCUCGCCGGAAGACCAAGGGUUCCUGUCCAACGUUAAUCGGGGCAGGGUGAGUCGACCCCUAAGGCGAGGCCGAAAGGCGUAGUCGAUGGGAAACAGGUUAAUAUUCCUGUACUUGGUGUUACUGCGAAGGGGGGACGGAGAAGGCUAUGUUGGCCGGGCGACGGUUGUCCCGGUUUAAGCGUGUAGGCUGGUUUUCCAGGCAAAUCCGGAAAAUCAAGGCUGAGGCGUGAUGACGAGGCACUACGGUGCUGAAGCAACAAAUGCCCUGCUUCCAGGAAAAGCCUCUAAGCAUCAGGUAACAUCAAAUCGUACCCCAAACCGACACAGGUGGUCAGGUAGAGAAUACCAAGGCGCUUGAGAGAACUCGGGUGAAGGAACUAGGCAAAAUGGUGCCGUAACUUCGGGAGAAGGCACGCUGAUAUGUAGGUGAAGUCCCUCGCGGAUGGAGCUGAAAUCAGUCGAAGAUACCAGCUGGCUGCAACUGUUUAUUAAAAACACAGCACUGUGCAAACACGAAAGUGGACGUAUACGGUGUGACGCCUGCCCGGUGCCGGAAGGUUAAUUGAUGGGGUCAGCGCAAGCGAAGCUCUUGAUCGAAGCCCCGGUAAACGGCGGCCGUAACUAUAACGGUCCUAAGGUAGCGAAAUUCCUUGUCGGGUAAGUUCCGACCUGCACGAAUGGCGUAAUGAUGGCCAGGCUGUCUCCACCCGAGACUCAGUGAAAUUGAACUCGCUGUGAAGAUGCAGUGUACCCGCGGCAAGACGGAAAGACCCCGUGAACCUUUACUAUAGCUUGACACUGAACAUUGAGCCUUGAUGUGUAGGAUAGGUGGGAGGCUUUGAAGUGUGGACGCCAGUCUGCAUGGAGCCGACCUUGAAAUACCACCCUUUAAUGUUUGAUGUUCUAACGUGGACCCGUAAUCCGGGUUGCGGACAGUGUCUGGUGGGUAGUUUGACUGGGGCGGUCUCCUCCUAAAGAGUAACGGAGGAGCACGAAGGUUGGCUAAUCCUGGUCGGACAUCAGGAGGUUAGUGCAAUGGCAUAAGCCAGCUUGACUGCGAGCGUGACGGCGCGAGCAGGUGCGAAAGCAGGUCAUAGUGAUCCGGUGGUUCUGAAUGGAAGGGCCAUCGCUCAACGGAUAAAAGGUACUCCGGGGAUAACAGGCUGAUACCGCCCAAGAGUUCAUAUCGACGGCGGUGUUUGGCACCUCGAUGUCGGCUCAUCACAUCCUGGGGCUGAAGUAGGUCCCAAGGGUAUGGCUGUUCGCCAUUUAAAGUGGUACGCGAGCUGGGUUUAGAACGUCGUGAGACAGUUCGGUCCCUAUCUGCCGUGGGCGCUGGAGAACUGAGGGGGGCUGCUCCUAGUACGAGAGGACCGGAGUGGACGCAUCACUGGUGUUCGGGUUGUCAUGCCAAUGGCACUGCCCGGUAGCUAAAUGCGGAAGAGAUAAGUGCUGAAAGCAUCUAAGCACGAAACUUGCCCCGAGAUGAGUUCUCCCUGACCCUUUAAGGGUCCUGAAGGAACGUUGAAGACGACGACGUUGAUAGGCCGGGUGUGUAAGCGCAGCGAUGCGUUGAGCUAACCGGUACUAAUGAACCGUGAGGCUUAACCUUACAACGCCGAAGCUGUU
rnacentral:rRNA from 1 species